rnacentral:lncRNA from 1 species
GUUGCGCUCCUCCCUCUCUCCUAGCUCUCCCUCUUUCUCGACGGGCGAAAGACAUGGGACAGUGAACGAUCUUUCAGAACCUAUACGUACAUGGGGUAACAGGAUGAGAAAUCAACUGAAUAAAAUGAUAUUUCUAAAAUGCUGGGAGAAGAAAGCAAUUUUAUCAUAAUUAAGAAGGGAUAACUACAGAUGACAAAUUCUUGACCUUUAUCUAUGUGUCUUAUUAGAUGGAGUAGCGAGUCGGUGAACGGAUUGUUUACAAACUAAGAGGGAUACAACCUACAUAUUCAAUUGUCCUUUGAAGCGAUUAGCAAUGCAAUUUUACCAGUCGAAUAAUACAGGAUAAGCAAUCUAAGGAACUGAACAUGGAUAAAAUGUAUUAAGUGGACGUGGCGAUCAGUUCUGACUCAUCAUGCAAAGAAUAUUUAUGUUGUAUUCCACUUGACCGUGAUUAACAAGCUGAAAAUUCAUACCUCUCACACUCCAUGUCUAGGAUGAGGUGCUACCGCUAAUUACCCCGGUGAACCAUCACAUUCCCAAAGUCUUUCACAGGUACUGCUUGACCUCACAACACAAAUAAUACAUCAGAAAAGAUGCCAAAUGUGAUGGUCACAGACUCAAAGUUAUUCAAAUCUGGGCAAAGAUGCAUAGAUCAAGUGUAAGCAACUCAAAUUUUGUAAAUCUUCUCAUUAAAGCAGUGCUACUGCCUUCAUCCGAAAAAACAUGCAAGUACACCUGCAGAUCAUGAGGGCAUUGGCUGACGGGUAAUGGGUUGACCUUGACCACCAAAAAUCCCUUGUACUGAUAACAAAACCAUGUUUCCAGCCUUGAAGCGUAAGAAAGAAUAUGUAAGCUCAGUACUUCCAGCGAUCAAUUGUAAGAAUUAAACUAUUGAAGUAAUGUGUUUAUAUAGACUGCCAUUAGCUCAUAGGCCAGGUCUGCUGUUGAUGGAUCACCACUAAGAAUAGGAAGUGUUGAUGAACCAUCCGGCCUUAACAUAUCAAUUAGGAUGGAUGGUUACACUGAGUAGAGGACAAAAUGUGUUGCAUUCAAAUAUAUUAGCAACAACAUAUUUAGACAGUGCUGGUAUCUGGAACACACCAAUGCAGAGAGUAAAGUAAGUUAAUUUUACCUACUAUCACUCGUUCAUGAGAUAUCCUAAAGUCAACACCUGCAAACAGGAAUAAAUGAAAAUCUGGAUUCAAUUUUUAGUCGGUAGCCCUGCAGCUGCAUAAUAAAAAUCCUUGGUUGUUCUAUGUAAGUUUCCAAAUGAAUGGAAGCUUGGACACUAAAAACAUCAAAAGGUGAUCUAACAUAACCUCAUAUCACAUAACGGUACUCUAGCUGAAAGCUGGGAGCAUCCUUUAUGACCUCCAAUAUAUGACUAAAAAGCUGCUUAGCAACUGAAAUCAAAAGUAAGGAGUGCCCUGCAACAAUAGUGAACCGUCUUUAAUGGCAUGCACCUUACACUCCAGCAUAUAUUACAUAAAGAAACAAUUGAAGAAGCACUUGCACACAAGUCUAGUCUAGUCUACUGUAGUAGAUAAAACAAUGAAGCAUAAUGGUAGCAAUAGCAAGUGCUUCAAACCUGCACAAUUCAUCAGCUAGAUGAAAAACAGAGUGCUAAAACCACAAACAGAAGAUGCAACACCCAAUGUUGUAUGGCUAACAGGACAGUGAGUUACUGGUACAUGUCCAACACAAAAUGCAUGAGUAAGAAGGGAUGGCAACAACUAUAGCGCAUUUGACAUGACUCCAGUAGUAAGCUGAUAUGUGUGUAUGGUGAAGAAACAAUAGGCACAAACAAUGUGCGCUUCCUUUCCUUACCAUUUGUUCUUCAGAGCCUGGAUACCAAACUUGAAUGGAAGUAGCAGGAUAGGACGGAGAAGAAGGGCGUUUAUACCUGAGAGCCUGGCGUCCUCUGCGCAGCGGACGACGGCGUGGAGCAUCCCGGCGGCAGCG